ensembl:lncRNA
UUAGUUCUGUAACAUUUUACUCUUAUGGAAAAAAAGAUGAUGACACUAUGACAUCAAAAUGAUCAUACAUUUAGGGGUUUUUAGAAUUAUUGAUUGUACAUUGUACAAAGAGCUAACUUAUUGUACAAAUACAAUAACUAUCAUACACCUGGUAACACUUUGGAUGCACAAAGAUAAAACCGAUAACCAUCUUCUUACUGGAUAUGGGUGAAAAUGUGUGCUAGGAAUGGUUAGCUGGCACUUAACAUCAGUGAUUUCAACUAUGAGCAAAUAAUCUGGAAUUGACAGAAAUUUUUUGAUUUUCUUCUCAUAGCAUUGAACACUAAACUAUCGCUGUCUAAAAGAGAUUUACUUCAGAUUGUCUCAGAAAUUAGAAAAUCUCUUGGCUGUGUGCUCUUUUUCUUCAUAUAGGCCCUUUUGAAAUGUGAAAUAACCUUUAUGUGCCUUCAUCAGCACAACACAAAACAGCUAAAAUACUAGUGUGGGUUCACUGAUUUAUGAAUAUGAAACUGAUAAGACAGCAUAAAGAAAUUAUCAUAAAUAUUGUGAGGAAUUUUAAAUGCACUCUUUCUGGCAGUGGAAAAACUGAUUGUUCAUUUGUUAUUUCCAUUUAUGAUAAGUUAUGCAGGAAGUCGUCUGGAAAAAUGUUGAGUAUAUUUUUUUUUUAAAUCUUUUGAAACUGCAUUUUUCUAUGAUACAAAUAUACCAACUUUAUUGUGCUACUGAUCUUGGCAAGUGCUCAUCUGUGGAAUGUACCCAAAUGCUCACUUAGCCUUAGAGUUGUGAGAAAAUAGAAAAACGUUUCCUGGAAAAACAAAGGACAGGAGUGGCCAUUUUGAAUUCAACUCAUUAUUGCAGUAAAACUGGUACAGAGUAACAGAUUACAAAGCUCAUGGCACAGUCACUGAAAAAGAGAAAUGAGGUGUGUAUGUACAACAAGGAGGAAAAAGAAACAAAAAUGUUAACAUUUUGGCUAAUAAGAACACCAGGGGUAACAAAAAAUGAAGGUACUGUAAUUCUGGAGAUGACUUGAUUAUAUAACAAAGAGAAAAUAUGAAAUGAAGCAUCGCAAAAAUAACAUUACUUAAAAAAUACAUGUAGCACUUGCACUGACAGAUUCAAUCCUUGUGUUUAACCUAGGUCCAAUUCUAAGUAGCUUUUCCUGCUGACAAAAAGGCUCAAUUUCAAUGGCAAACACUAGAAACAAAUGACUGAAACUGCCUUGCACAUCAUCUGAGUUCUUUUUGGGGAAAUAGCUGAUACGAUUAUUUGCUGAUGACCUGCUUCUUUAUAUUAGGCCUCAGUCAGACUGGCCUCAAAGUCCGGUUGGCAACCUGGCAACCUCUGGUCGAUAAGCAAAGUGGUUGCUGACAGCUGUUAAUUACAAUUGAUCGCAAAGAGGGCGCUGUACAAAAAAACCUCCUUAUGAUUGCUUCAGUCGCUACAGUGCCUUGACUCAACUGUUGUUGUGAUUUGGGGCUAUAUAAAUAAAAUUCAACUGACCUGAAUAGAUUGCCAUGGUUGUCUGCAAUUUGCAUGGAUGAUGUGGACAAAUCAUAGUGAAACUUGGAAAAGUUAUGCUUAACCUCUGCAGCCAACAUUAUUUUUCCAAAAUGCUCAACUUUUACUUUAAAUUCACAUAGCUGUUGUUUGCAUUGCACUUUCCACAGUUUUACUACCAUUUGGCAAGUAGCUGGUGAGUCCACAUCGCCAUGUAAACUACAACUACCGUUGUAUUCUGCUAGCAACCAACGCAAUCACAAGGAGGUUUUCAGUGCAACACCAUAAAGCUCUUUGCAAACAGUUUUCCCUAGCAAAUGCAAGAACUCUUGAGCAACCACUCUCAACUGGUUGGGGAAUACACAUUUUUUUCUUAGUGAUCUGUGGUUGCCAGGGAAUUGCCAGCCAGUCUUUAGUCCCGUGUAACCGGAGCUUUAGCAAAGCUCUAAUCUCCAAACAAAAUGUUCCCAUUAAUCUUGAAUCAGGUGUUAAGGAUCUUUUUUUUCAUCCACAUUUAUAUGCCAUCAUAAGGAAAAUACAUGCACAGCAGUCAGAGCUGGCUCGCAACCUGGCGACAAAAUCAAUGCAAAUUGUGAACACUCUUUGGGUACCUCAGUCAAGAUUUCAUCAUCGCUUAUGUUUCAGAUUUUCAAUUUCUUUGUUAUUGCAAAAAAUUUGAAUUAUUAUUUUUUUUAAAGAAAUUUAAAACAAAUUUCUUAAAUUGCGCAAAACAAAUGACUAACAUCGGCUCUGGUACAAGUGAUGCUUGAUGCAAGCGGAGACGACAGUUUGAGUUACACUUCAGAUGUUGCCAACCAAAACCACAAACAGUACAGAGCACCACUGAUCGAAACAAAAACUUGGCACCUGGCUACUGUAACCGGACGAAUACGACCGCACUAAAAAAUCAAAACAAGUUCAUCAUCAUGAUCAUCGUGUCUCACUGGCAAAUCUUCACCCCACAGAAAAUGGCUGAUGGCUAUUUACACACAUCUCUGCGAAAAAAUACAAUUAAAAAUGUAAUGUCAUGAGGCAUGGAGAAUUAAUGUCAUAUCCCUUUCAUGAUUUCUGAUUCCUCCCUCUAACCCUCAAAAUGCCCCCCACAGAUAUAAACAUAAUAUUGAAAAAUAAUAAUUAAAAAAACUGAUUUCUGAACUUUUGACCUCACUACAUUUUCAAUGUGACACAUUUUUUCAACACACACUGAAUUUUACUUUUUCAUCUUUUAACAAAAGAAAAAAACCAAUACAACAUAUUUCUAAACACAAAAUAACAACAGUCUACAUGUAAAAAUAUAACUUUUACAUACACAAUUUCAAAAUAAUGGUAAAGUUUGCCAUUUUGUUGCAUACAAUUUACAAAUGUCUGUGUGUUGUUGUUGCCUUGGAUAGAUAGCAGUGAAUGGAGCUGAUGGAACUCCGGUCCCAUUUUGUCCUGCGCAGGGUGCCGUACUAGUCAGAGGGUGGCAACAACGGAGAAUACAACGAAGUCAGUUGAAAAUUUAUAACACUGAGGGGCCUCGCCAACUUCCGCCAGUUCAGUCUUUGAGAAAAGAACUCCUUGCCAAGCAAAUACUCCCUUUGCAACGGAAAAUUAAAAAAAUAACAGAAAACGGCACCCUCGUUAUAUAUUGUAUAUAUUUUUUUGUACAUUUAUAUAUAGAUUGAUUUAUUCAAAUAGAUUCUUUUCCAGUUUCCGUGCCUUCCUGUUGAUUGGGUAGAAUUUUAACCGCGUCAAAAUGACCACCGACAGUUAACAAUGCUGCCGGAUAGCGAAUUGUGUUUUUUUUGUGUUUGUCUUUUUUUUUGUUUUGUUUUUUACAUUUUCUGUAAUAGACAUGUAAACCAGAACAGACAAAAAAAGUAAUAAGAGAAAAGAUUCUUCUUAUAAAAGAGAGCAAGAGAGAGAAAGAGAGAGGGAGGGGGAACAAAAAAGAAAAUUAGUUUUACAACAUACAACCACACACUUUGUACUGAAGACUACAUUGGCUCAUGGACAAGCCGAUCAAAUAUUGAUAAAAAGCUGAUAAGCUAUAAUACAAGAAGAGACGCGUUGUUCACCGUGGAAACAGGGUUGGGGCUCGGAACAGGAAAGUGGGGCUGGAGUUGGGGGAUGGGGAGGACUGGGAUGGGGGGUAGUCUUGCUAAAUCAAGCAUCUGUCCCAUUGGCUUGAAGCCAGAACACGCUGUCUACUUACAUAUAAGCGUACAGUACAUUAAAUACAGUUUAGUUUUUUUUUUAUCCAAAAAAUACUUUUUUUUUUCCUUUUUAGCUUUUUUCAAAUUCCCAGGUCUGGUAAAAAACCUGACUGCAUAGAACCUAACGACUAAGAACAGGUUUCCCUAAGCUUGCAUCCUAUUAAAAGACCAGGUAAAUGUCCUCCUCUGGCAACUCGAAUGAUAUGAACUCUAAAAAGGCACAUUGGUAGAAGUGUGAAUGUUCAAAUUGCAUCUGUGGGACCGCUUAAGUGGGGCAAGAGGCUGGGAAGAGGGGCUAUAGACUCUAGUUCAGGGCUCAUAAGGCUAGGGUCAGCAGAGCACUGGGACUGGGGAUUAAACAUAGGCUUGGACUUAGAGGGGUUCAAACCGUGGUUCAAACUGGUGUGAAGGGGGGACUUCCAGACUUAUGCCACAAUUCUUGCAGAUAUUAUCAGUAGCCUUGAUUUAUCUACUAAUUCCAAUUCUCACUUGAGUGGUCAUAACCUCCGACAUCAUGAUUUUUCCUGCUCCUGUUCCUUUUAUCAUCUACUACUAUCAAAUCAAGAAACAUGGCAUAGAACUGAACACACUUUGAGUAAAGAGUAAAGUAACAUAUUAUCAGUUGGACUUUCAAACUGGAAUUAGCGGCAAUUAGCUGCCCUUAACAGCCUCAAAGCUGUUAAGGGCAGCUAAUUGUAGCUAAUGCUAAAGAUAAAACCGGUAAAACCUGAAACCUUCCUCAUUCUGGUAGUUACAGACACAAGCCAGAGUCGGCUCAUAUUUGUUUCAGGAGCAGGAGCACCAACUGUGCUGUGAGUUGUUAUGUUGGAACAUGACCAGGUGCUAAAACUGCUACUUCGGUGUGCAGUUUCCCCCGGUCCAGUCCGGGAAUCUGGGUGGUCAUUGUUUCAAACAGGCCUCCUGAUCUAAUCUAAAAGCUAUUCAAAAUGCUGGCAGUCAUCAAUGUAACACCAAGUCUGGCAAAACAUCUCAAUUUUUCAUUG